AAACUGAUGGAGCCGUUUUUGGAUGAUGGGAGAAAUGUCACAACGGACAAUUUCUUUACUUCACUGUCACUGUCGCACAGACUGCUGCAGCGCAAAACAACGUUACUGGGCACGGUGAAUAAAGUCCGGCGUGAACUUCCUCAACUUGCAAAAGAUACUGCAAAGCGAGAGUUCCAUGCACCAAGACGUGACGAUCGGUGACGGCAGAAAGAGGAAACCCAACACGAUAACAGACUAUAACCACAUGAAGUGUGGUGUAGACGUGUUGGACCAAAUGGCAUGGAUGUAUUCCGUAAGAUCAGCAACACGCAGGUGGCCAGUAGCGGUUUUCUACAAUAUGCUGGACCUGGCGGCAGUGAAUGCCUACAUUUUGUACAAGGCAUGUACAGGGUGGACAGGCAAAAGAAGAUUGUUUCUGAGUCUUCUAGCUC